AUGUUGAUGCCUAAGAAGAAUCAGAUUGCCACUUAUGAACUCAUUUUUAAGGAGGGAGUCAUGGUGGCCAAGAAGGAUGUCCACAUGCCUAAGCACCCAGAGCUGGCAGACAAGAAUGUGCCCAACGUUCACUCAUGAAGGCCAUGCAGUCUCUGAAGUCCCAAGGCUACAUGAAGGAACACUUUGCCUGGAGACAUUUCUACUGCGACCUCACCAAGGAGGGUAUCCAGUAUCUCUGUGAUUACCUUCACCUGCCCCCAGAGAUUGUGCACAGCCGUCCAGAGAAUGGCAGGCCUCGGCCUAAAGGUGUGGAGGGUAAGCAACCUGCAAGACUCACAAGAGGGGAAGCCGACAGAGAUAUCUGCAGACAGAGUGCUGUGCUCCCUGGUGCCUACAAGAAAGCCGCGGUUGGGGCUGGGUCAACAACCGAAUUCCAGUUUAGAGGUGGAUUUGGUCGUUGACGUGGUCAACCACCUCAGUAA
rnacentral:lncRNA from 1 species